CCCCCUAAAUGCGGAGUAUGAAAUCAUUUUUACCUAACUCAUUUUCGCUAUCGUUUUUAUUUUAUUUUACAUCCGUUAUUAGACCGUGGCAACGCGGAACACUAAUUUAACCCACACAUUUUCUAGUGGGAUGGCUUUUAGGCGGAACACAACAGUAUCGUACCACAUGCAAAACGAUAUGACAACAAUAACGUCUAAUGUAACUGGCCCCAGCUGAACGGUUCUAGAACCACCAGUGAUCCGUCACAUCCUUCCAUAGGUACACCUCGAAGAACGACACGGUCUAUGCCAUACUGCUGGAAUGGCCUUCCAACCUGCUGUUCUACCUCGCAUCACCCAAAACCUCUGAGGCCACGAAUGUCACUAUACUUGACAACCCGUGCGUACCUCUGAGGUGGGUAUCAACGACACCAACAGGACUGGUGGUACUCAUGCCUAAAAACAGGCCAGUUUCCCCGGGACAAGGCUGGGUCCUGAAACUAGAGGGAGUUGCCUGAAGGGCAGUGAACCUAAAACUGUUGUUAUUAUACAUCAAGAGAUUAUGACUGUUAAUGUUUCGUUUUAAUUUCAGGGGUUAAAAUGUUCUUCUUUUUUUUUAACGACUCUGAUACUGGUUGAUGUGUGUGCGGCAGCUGAAGCCUAGCUGCCUGAAUAUGCAAUAGAUAUCACGACACUGCAGAGCCGUUAUCAACAAUGGGCUCUUUAUAAAAAACCCAAAACGUU